AACCAUUCUCACCUGCGGCUAGACCUGCGGAGGGAUCAUUACCGAGUUUACAACUCCCAAACCCCUGUGAACAUACCAAUUGUUGCCUCGGCGGAUCAGCCCGCUCCCGGUAAAACGGGACGGCCCGCCAGAGGACCCCUAAACUCUGUUUCUAUAUGUAACUUCUGAGUAAAACCAUAAAUAAAUCAAAACUUUUAGCAACGGAUCU
rnacentral:misc_RNA from 1 species